rnacentral:rRNA from 1 species
UACGUAGGGUGCAAGCGUUAAUCGGAAUUACUGGGCGUAAAGCGUGCGCAGGCGGUUUUGUAAGACUGUCGUGAAAGCCCCGGGCUCAACCUGGGAAUUGCAUUUGAGACUGCGUAGCUAGGGUGCGGAAGAGGGAAGCGGAAUUUCCGGUGUAGCGGUGAAAUGCGUAGAUAUCGGAAGGAACACCAGUGGCGAAAGCGGCUUCCUGGUCCAGCACCGACGUCAGGCACGAAAGCGUGGGGAGCAAACAGG